GAUGAAGAACGCAGCGAAAUGCGAUAAGUAGUGUGAAUUGCAGAAUUCAGUGAAUCAUCGAAUCUUUGAACGCACAUUGCGCCCUUUGGUAUUCCAUGGGGCAUGCCUGUUCGAGCGUCAUUUGUACCUUCAAGCUUUGCUUGGUGUUGGGUGUUUGUCUCGCCUUUGCGUGUAGACUCGCCUUAAAAUAAUUGGCAGCCGGCGUAUUGAUUUCGGAGCGCAGUACAUCUCGCGCUUUGCACUCAUAACGACAGCGUCCAAAAGUACAUUUUACACUCUUGACCUCGGAUCAGGUAGGGAUACCCGCUGAACUUAAGCAUAUCAAUAAGCGGAGGA
rnacentral:misc_RNA from 1 species